rnacentral:pre_miRNA from 1 species
UGGCAAGAAGUCCCCAGGGCCUAGCUGAUUUCAACCACGGUAAUAAGCUCCAUAGAUAGCCUAUCACCGGGUGGAAAUCAGUUAGGGCCUUCUGGGCUUCA